rnacentral:rRNA from 1 species
UGGGGAAUAUUGGACAAUGGGCGAAAGCCUGAUCCAGCCAUGCCGCGUGUGUUAAGAAGGUCUUCGGAUUGUAAAGCACUUUAAGUUGGGAGGAAGGGCAGUAAGCGAAUACCUUGCUGUUUUGACGUUACCGACAGAAUAAGCACCGGCUAACUCUGUGCCAGCAGCCGCGGUAAUACAGAGGGUGCAAGCGUUAAUCGGAAUUACUGGGCGUAAAGCGCGCGUAGGUGGUUCGUUAAGUUGAAUGUGAAAGCCCCGGGCUCAACCUGGGAACUGCAUCCAAAACUGGCGAGCUAGAGUAGGGCAGAGGGUGGUGGAAUUUCCUGUGUAGCGGUGAAAUGCGUAGAUAUAGGAAGGAACACCAGUGGCGAAGGCGACCACCUGGGCUCAUACUGACACUGAGGUGCGAAAGCGUGGGGAGCAAACAGG